GCAGUCGUGGCCGAGUGGUUAAGGCGAUAGACUAGAAAUCCAUUGGGGUCUCCCCGCACAGGUUCGAAUCCUGUCGAAUGCG
rnacentral:tRNA from 1 species